GUGGGGAAUAUUGCGCAAUGGGCGAAAGCCUGACGCAGCGACGCCGCGUGAGGGACGACGGCCUUCGGGUUGUAAACCUCUUUCAGCAGGGAAGAAGCGAAAGUGACGGUACCUGCAGAAGAAGCACCGGCUAACUACGUGCCAGCAGCCGCGGUAAUACGUAGGGUGCAAGCGUUGUCCGGAAUUAUUGGGCGUAAAGAGCUCGUAGGCGGUCUGUCGCGUCGGAUGUGAAAAUCCAGGGCUCAACCCUGGACCUGCAUUCGAUACGGGCAGACUAGAGUUCGGCAGGGGAGACUGGAAUUCCUGGUGUAGCGGUGAAAUGCGCAGAUAUCAGGAGGAACACCGGUGGCGAAGGCGGGUCUCUGGGCCGAUACUGACGCUGAGGAGCGAAAGCGUGGGGAGCGAACAGGAUUAGAAACCCUAGUAGUCC
rnacentral:rRNA from 1 species